rnacentral:rRNA from 1 species
AGAAAGUAGUUAAAAGGCGGCGUAAGCUGUCGCUAAAAGGAUGGACCUGCGAUGCAUUAGCUAGUUGGUAAGGUAACGGCUCACCAAGGCGAUGAUGCAUAGCCGAGUUGAGAGACUGAUCGGCCACAUUGGGACUGAGACACGGCCCAAGCUCCUACGGGAGGCAGCAGUAGGGAAUUUUCCACAAUGGACGCAAGUCUGAUGGAGCAACGCCGCGUGAGUGAAGAAGGUUUUCGGAUCGUAAAGCUCUGUUGUUGGUGAAGAAGGAUAGAGGUAGUAACUGGCCUUUAUUUGACGGUAAUCAACCAGAAAGUCACGGGCUAACUACGUGCCAGCAGCCGCGGUAAAU